rnacentral:rRNA from 1 species
AGCCUACCCUAGCCCAACCCCACUGCACAAGCUAUAGCAAAAAUCUACUUUCCUCCCUCUAACUAAAACAUUCUCUAAACUUAGUAUAGGCGAUAGAAAAGACCUACUUGGUGCGAUAGAAACUCCGUACCGUAAGGGAAAGAUGAAAUAACAAUGAAAAACUAAGCAAUAAGCAGCAAAGAUUCACCCUUGUACCUUUUGCAUCAUGAUUUAGCGAGAAUAACCAAGCAAAAUGAAUUUAAGCUUGCCUCCCCGAAACCCAAGCGAGCUACUUGCAAGCAGCUAUUCAUGAGCGAACCCGUCUCUGUUGCAAAAGAGUGGGAUGACUUGCUAGUAGAGGUGAAAAGCCUAUCGAGCUGGGUGAUAGCUGGUUGCCUGUGAAAUGAAUCUAAGUUCUCCUCUAACUCUCCUCCCUGGAUACGGACCUCAACCCCCAUGUAAUGAGUCAGAAGGAAUUUAAAGGAGGUACAGCUCCUUUAAAAAAGAAUACAACCUCUAUUAGUGGAUAAUUAUCCGACUUCUUAUACACUGUAGGCCUUCAAGCAGCCACCAAUAAAGAGUGCGUCAAAGCUCCAUACAUAAAAAUCCAACAACAACACGACUCCCUUCUCACCAACAGGCUAACCUAUGCCAAUAGGAGUAUCAAUGCUAAAAUGAGUAACUAGGGUUAUCCCCUCUCAAGCGCAAGUUUACAUCUUCACAUUAUUAACAGACAACAAAACCAAUAUCUCAAUUACAACAAGAUUAAGAUAUUAGUCCAUUCUGUUGAUCCAACCCAGGAGCGCCUACUUAGAAAGAUUAAAAUCUGUAAAAGGAACUAGGCAAACCCAGGGCCCGACUGUUUACCAAAAACAUAGCCUUUAGCUCACCAAGUAUUGAAGGUGAUGCCUGCCCGGUGACACAAUGUUUAACGGCCGCGGUAUCCUAACCGUGCGAAGGUAGCGCAAUCAAUUGUCCCAUAAAUCGAGACUUGUAUGAAUGGCUAAACGAGGUCCUAACUGUCUCUUACAGAUAAUCAGUGAAAUUGAUCUUCCUGUGCAAAAGCAGGAAUGCUCACAUAAGACGAGAAGACCCUGUGGAACUUAAAAAUCAGCAGCCACUAUAUACACAGCUUUAACCUACUAGGCCUACCGUUCCCAAACCACUGGCUCGCAUUUUUCGGUUGGGGCGACCUUGGAGAAAAAUAAAUCCUCCAAAAAUAAGACCAAACCUCUUGACCAAGAGCAACCCCUCAACGUACUAAUAGUAACCAGACCCAAUAUACUUGAGCAAUGGACCAAGCUACCCCAGGGAUAACAGCGCAAUCUCCUCUAAGAGCUCCCAUCGACGAGGGGGUUUACGACCUCGAUGUUGGAUCAGGACAUCCUAAUGGUGCAGCCGCUAUUAAGGGUUCGUUUGUUCAACGAUUAACAGUCCUACGUGAUCUGAGUUCAGACCGGAGCAAUCCAGGUCGGUUUCUAUCUAUGACAGACCUUCUCCAGUACGAAAGGACCGAGAAAGUAGGGCCAAUACUACAAGCACGCCCUCUCCCCAAGUAAUGUAUCCAACUAAAUUACCUAGGGACACCCUACAUUAUCAUUCCUAGAAAAGGACCC